CCUACGGGAGGCAGCAGUGGGGAAUAUUGCACAAUGGGCGAAAGCCUGAUGCAGCGACGCCGCGUGAGGGAUGACGGCCUUCGGGUUGUAAACCUCUUUCAGCAGGGAAGAAGCGAAAGUGACGGUACCUGCAGAAGAAGCGCCGGCUAACUACGUGCCAGCAGCCGCGGUAAUACGUAGGGCGCAAGCGUUGUCCGGAAUUAUUGGGCGUAAAGAGCUCGUAGGCGGCUUGUCACGUCGGAUGUGAAAGCCCGGGGCUUAACCCCGGGUCUGCAUUCGAUACGGGCUAGCUAGAGUGUGGUAGGGGAGAUCGGAAUUCCUGGUGUAGCGGUGAAAUGCGCAGAUAUCAGGAGGAACACCGGUGGCGAAGGCGGAUCUCUGGGCCAUUACUGACGCUGAGGAGCGAAAGCGUGGGGAGCGAACAGGAUUAGAUACCCUGGUAGUCCACGCCGUAAACGUUGGGAACUAGGUGUUGGCGACAUUCCACGUCGUCGGUGCCGCAGCUAACGCAUUAAGUUCCCCGCCUGGGGAGUACGGCCGCAAGGCUAAACCUUAAAUGAAUUGACGG
rnacentral:rRNA from 1 species